UGGGGAAUAUUGGACAAUGGGGGCAACCCUGAUCCAGCAAUGCCGCGUGUGUGAAGAAGGCCUGCGGGUUGUAAAGCACUUUUGGCAGGGAUGAAAAGCACUGGAUUAAUAACCUAGUGUGUUGACCUAACCUGCAGAAGAAGCACCGGCUAACUCUGUGCCAGCAGCCGCGGUAAUACGUAGGGUGCAGGCGUUAAUCGGAAUUACUGGGCGUAAAGCGUGCGCAGGCGGCUCCUUAAGUCAGAUGUGAAAUCCCCGGGCUUAACCUGGGAACUGCGUUUGAAACUGAGGGGCUAGAGUGUGGAAGAGGGGGGUGGAAUUCCAGGUGUAGCAGUGAAAUGCGUAGAGAUCUGGAGGAACACCGAUGGCGAAGGCAGCCCCCUGGGCUAACACUGACGCUCAUGCACGAAAGCGUGGGGAGCAAACAGGAUUAGAUACCCACGUAGUCCCUGAGCGGGCUGGCAAGGCGCAU
rnacentral:rRNA from 1 species